rnacentral:rRNA from 1 species
CACGGGGGUUGGAGGGCAAGUCUGGUGCCAGCAGCCGCGGUAAUUCCAGCUCCAAUAGCGUAUAUUAAAGUUGUUGCAGUUAAAAAGCUCGUAGUUGAAUUUCGGGAUUAGUACGUCGGUCGUGCCUUAGGUACGUACUGGUGUUACUGGUUCCUACCUUCUGACGAACCAUCAUGUCAUUAAUUUGGUGUGGUGGGGAAUCAGGACUGUUACUUUGAAAAAAUUAGAGUGUUUAAAGCAGGCUCGCGCUUGAAUACAUUAGCAUGGAAUAAUGAAAUAGGACGUUGAUCCUAUUUUGUUGGUUUCUAGGAUUGACGUAAUGAUUAAUAGGGAUAGUUGGGGGCAUUAGUAUUCAAUUGUCAGAGGUGAAAUUCUUGGAUUUAUUGAAGACUAACUACUGCGAAAGCAUUUGCCAAGGAUGUUUUCAUUAAUCAAGAACGAAAGUUAGGGGAUCGAAGACGAUCAG